GAUGAACGCUGGCGGCGUGCCUAAUACAUGCAAGUCGAGCGAACGGACGAGAAGCUUGCUUCUCUGAUGUUAGCGGCGGACGGGUGAGUAACACGUGGAUAACCUACCUAUAAGACUGGGAUAACUUCGGGAAACCGUAGCUAAUACCGGAUAAUAUUUUGAACCGCAUGGUUCAAAAGUGAAAGACGGCCUUGCUGUCACUUAUAGAUGGAUCCGCGCUGCAUUAGCUAGUUGGUAAGGUAACGGCUUACCAAGGCAACGAUGCAUAGCCGACCUGAGAGGGUGAUCGGCCACACUGGAACUGAGACACGGUCCAGACUCCUACGGGAGGCAGCAGUAGGGAAUCUUCCGCAAUGGGCGAAAGCCUGACGGAGCAACGCCGCGUGAGUGAUGAAGGUCUUCGGAUCGUAAAGCUCUGUUAUUAGGGAAGAACAUAUGUGUAAGUAACUGUGCACAUCUUGACGGUACCUAAUCAGAAAGCCACGGCUAACUACGUG
rnacentral:rRNA from 1 species